rnacentral:rRNA from 1 species
AUUGAACGCUGGCGGCAGGCCUAACACAUGCAAGUCGAGCGGAUGACGGGAGCUUGCUCCUUGAUUCAGCGGCGGACGGGUGAGUAAUGCCUAGGAAUCUGCCUGGUAGUGGGGGACAACGUUUCGAAAGGAACGCUAAUACCGCAUACGUCCUACGGGAGAAAGCAGGGGACCUUCGGGCCUUGCGCUAUCAGAUGAGCCUAGGUCGGAUUAGCUAGUUGGUGGGGUAAUGGCUCACCGAGGCGACGAUCAGUAACUGGUUUGAGAGGAUGAUCAGUCACACUGGAACUGAGACACGGUCCGGACUCCUACGGGAGGCAGCAGUGGGGAAUAUUGGACAAUGGGCGAAAGCCUGAUCCAGCCAUGCCGCGUGUGUGAAGAAGGUCUUCGGAUUGUAAAGCACUUUAAGUUGGGAGGAAGGGCAGUAAGCUAAUACCUUGCUGUUUUGACGUUACCGACAGAAUAAGCACCGGCCAACUCUGUGCCAGCAGCCGCAGUAA